ACGAACGCUGGCGGCGUGCUUAACACAUGCAAGUCGAACGGAAAGGCCCUGCUUUUGUGGGGUGCUCGAGUGGCGAACGGGUGAGUAACACGUGAGUAACCUGCCCUUGACUUUGGGAUAACUUCAGGAAACUGGGGCUAAUACCGGAUAGGAGCUCCUGCUGCAUGGUGGGGGUUGGAAAGUUUCGGCGGUUGGGGAUGGACUCGCGGCUUAUCAGCUUGUUGGUGGGGUAGUGGCUUACCAAGGCUUUGACGGGUAGCCGGCCUGAGAGGGUGACCGGCCACAUUGGGAAUUGGGUACGGCCCAGGCUCCUACGGGAGGGAAGCGUGGGGAAUAUUUCCCCAAGGGGGGGAGCCUGAUGGAGGCACGCCCGGUGGGGGAAGACGGGCUUCGGGUUGUAAACCGCUUUCGCCUGUGACGAAGCGUGAGUGACGGUAAUGGGUAAAGAAGCACCGGCUAACUACGUG
rnacentral:rRNA from 1 species